rnacentral:rRNA from 1 species
GAUGAACGCUAGCGGCAGGCUUAAUACAUGCAAGUCGAGGGGCAGCGGGGUAGCAAUACCGCCGGCGACCGGCAAACGGGUGCGGAACACGUACAGAACCUUCCUUUAAGUGGUGAAUAGCCCGAAGAAAUUCGGAUUAAUACACCGUAAUAUUAUAGAGUGGCAUCACUUCAUAAUUAUAGAUUUAUCGCUUAAAGAUGGCUGUGCGGCUGAUUAGGUAGUUGGUGUGGGUAACGGCCCACCAAGCCUGCGAUCAGUAACUGGUGUGAGAGCACGACCAGUCACACGGGCACUGAGACACGGGCCCG